UUCAUCUUCCUUAUCCGUACGUAGUGUGUGUCGCUUCUUCCUCGCCAUAGCUCUAGCUCGGCAAGAAUAAAGCGGUUCCUUAGAAGUGGUGGAGGUGCUGGGGUUCUGCAUACCAAGGACGUAUAAGGUCACAAAGCUGCACCCAGGUAGAGGCAGAAUCCAAAAAUGCUUGUGUACUUCAAGUAUAGCUGCACAUUACAGAAUCCGAGGCCCUCAAGAUUUAUCCGUAGCCCUCGUGUAGCCCACGAGUUCCAUAUUUUUUAUUGGGAUUGAAGAGUAACGUUUGUGCUGUAUCCCUCUAUUUCAGACUAAAUAAUGUGCAUGCAAAAUUAUAUCUUCAUUACUUUACACCAUUGCACCAAUAUCUGUUGUGCGUUGAUUUUCUGAUGUCCUUGCAUUUGCUAUAGCAAGGAUUUUUAAAAAUCAGCCACAAAAGAAAAAAAUAAAUGGUCAAGGAACGAAGUGGUGUGUAGCAGCUCCCUUUUUUUUAAUCGGCGGCAAGUUUUGCACUCGUGUGUUAGCAACACUGUUUCGCCA
rnacentral:lncRNA from 1 species